GUUAGAAAUACGUUGUCUUGCGGAGCUAUCAGCGAUAGCAUGAUAGACUAGUCAGAGAUAAUAAGAGGCGAAAUACCGCCACAACAUAAUAGUGGCGACAAGAAU